GGGGCUGUAAUCUAGAGGCUAUGAUGCUGGGCUCCAGACCCAGGGAACGCCUUUUUUUCAGGGGUUCGAGUCCCCUCAGCCCCA
rnacentral:tRNA from 1 species